UUGGCUGGUUGAUUAGUACUGUUAAUUGCUGCUUGAGCUUUUGGAUGGUUCUAACCGCAUGUGGAAACCUAGCUCGACUCCAUUUAGCAAGGUAAUGGGUGACUUGGAGAAGUUUCGCUAUAAAAGAAUUAGGGGUAGUAGGGCCGUCCAUCCACACUUCGCAUACCACACGAUCACAAUCAGCAUCUUCAUUCCAAUAGGCUUCAUAUUUAAAAGUUCGCACCCGAGGCCCUUGAGAAGGUAGAAGUGAAAUUCACAGAGGACUGUGGUCGGAACCAAUGGCGGGCAAUGCAAAAGCUUCAGCUUGUGGGCAUAGUAAUCUCCAAUCAAGAGAGCAAAGCACUCUGUCAAGUUUCUCCUUAAUCAUAUACCGCCCCGCCCUAUUAUUAGACCACGUAUACCCGCAACCAUGGCUUUCUACUUCCAUUAAUGAGCACUCCGUGAGAAAGUGCCUAAAGGCUGAUAUACGCCAAUGUUCGGGACGACAGCCGCCUUCUUUUUCCCAAUCAUAUAGGAUCUCGUUGAAGUCGCCUAGACAAAGCCAAGGAAGGUGUAGUUGCUGUUUUAUGUGGCUGAGUGACUCCCAUAGAUGUUGUCGCUCCGAAAAGGAGUUCGGUGCAUGAACAAAGGUUAUCUCCAUACUCAUUUGGCUAUCCCGAUCAGCGUAGGAUAGAUGAACAAAAGUGUCAGAGGCAGAGAUGAUAUGUACAGCUGCCAUGUUCGACCAAAAAACGGCUAGUCCUCCAACCGUGCCUGUAGGAGGAACU